rnacentral:rRNA from 1 species
ACGCCCUUAGAGUUUGAUUCCUGGCUCAGAACGAACGCUGGCGGCGUGCCUAACACAUGCAAGUCGAACGAGAAACCGGUCUUCGGAUCGGGAGUACAGUGGCGCACGGGUGAGUAACGCGUGAGUAACCUACCCUCAUGCCUGGAAUAACGCCGGGAAACUGGUGCUAAUACCAGAUGAAGUCCGGAGCUGCGAGGAAUCCGGACCAAAGCAGGCCUCUGCAUGCAAGCUUGCGCAGGGGGAUGGGCUCGCGUCCCAUUAGCUAGUUGGCAGGGUAAAGGCCUACCAAGGCGACGAUGGGUAGCCGGCCUGAGAGGGUGUCCGGCCACACUGGAACUGAAACACGGUCCAGACUCCUACGGGAGGCAGCAGUGAGGAAUUUUGCGCAAUGGGCGAAAGCCUGACGCAGCGACGCCGCGUGGGCGAUGAAGCUUCUUGGAGUGUAAAGCCCUGUCAGGUGGGACGAAACCGGGUGGACGAACAGUCCUGCCGCUGACGGUACCACCAGAGGAAGCCCCGGCUAACUCCGUGCC